AGUGAACGCUGGCGGCAGGCCUAACACAUGCAAGUCGAGCGGCAGCGGGUCCUUCGGGAUGCCGGCGAGCGGCGGACGGGUGAGGAAUGCAUCGGAAUCUGCCCUGUCGUGGGGGAUAACCUAGGGAAACUUAGGCUAAUACCGCAUACGACCCACGGGUGAAAGCGGGGGAUCGCAAGACCUCGCGCGAUAGGAUGAGCCGAUGUCCGAUUAGCUAGUUGGCGGGGUAAAGGCCCACCAAGGCGACGAUCGGUAGCUGGUCUGAGAGGAUGAUCAGCCACACUGGGACUGAGACACGGCCCAGACUCCUACGGGAGGCAGCAGUGGGGAAUAUUGGACAAUGGGCGCAAGCCUGAUCCAGCCAUGCCGCGUGGGUAAAGAAGGCCUUCGGGUUGUAAAGCCCUUUUGUCCGGGAAGAAAUCGUCUGGGCUAAUACCCCGGGCGGAUGACGGUACCGGAAGAAUAAGCACCGGCUAACUUCGUG
rnacentral:rRNA from 1 species